AAUAAAUUUACUUUUCAGUUUUUAGAUAUAAUUUUUGACUCUUUAUCUUAUUUGAAACUUUUCUGUGAUUAAUAUUUUUAUUGUUGCUAUGUGAUAAAACAUAAAUAGUAUUUUAUGUAUGACUAAUUCUUUUAAGUUUUUUAUGAAUUUUUUAAAUAAGACGAAGGGUCACGUUGGACAUAGAAAU
rnacentral:pre_miRNA from 1 species